UCGAGGCUGGAAACCUGCCCGGAAUGACUGGACGUGACGGGCUUGCGGCGGGCGCCGCCCGGUGAAACCCUCUGGGCGGGUGAGGCAGCUCCGAGCAUCAUGGCGCCUCUUGGCCUUACAGCUGGGGGCGGGGAGGAGACAAGAGACACAGAAAUCCUCGGUGCUUUCGAGUCCUGAUCUCCUGCUAUGCCCUUGGAAUGGUUGAAUCAGAAGGAUUUUGACUAAGAAACAAGACAAAAAACCAUUAUGCUGGAGAACACACAUCAGGAAUUUAAUGGUUAAAAACCACCCAGGAAUGCUGUAAUUACCCCAAGCUCAGGACAUCCAGAGGCAGGAAAUGUGCUGUAACCAGGUCGACACUUCCAGCUAGGACAAUUAUUUUCCAAUAGCAUCGUCCAAUCAGAUGUGAAGGUGGCAGUUGGAAGAAAACUAUAUGUGCAUAUACACCGCCAAAAAAGAAAGAGGUGAAUCUUGAGAACGAUGCUCGAUUGGCCACUGGGUGACCGAAGACUCGUGUUUACCCAGGGACCAGCAGAACCAGCAUGGACAGCAACAGCACACGUUGCCUCAUGCUGCUCCGGAACCCACCUCCAAAAAGGGGAGAGUAGGUCUGUGUUUCUACUGCCCAUUCAAUUCUGACUUCUACAGAGAGCAAGAGUCCAUGCUAUGGUGGAGACACCGGGAACAGGACUGACACCAUCUAGGUCAAUGAUCUAGCAGAUGGCAAUAGCUUUUAGUUGCUGUGCCAUCUGUGGCUGGAUUUGAACUGGUGACCUAGAAGUCAGAGGGUUUAUAUCCCAUUGUCUAGUCCUUGAACCUAUAUUUUAUUAUGAAUAUUUUAUCUAUUGACAAUUGAACUACAAUGUUAUAUUCUCCUAAAGCCUCUGCAACUCAAACACUAGGCAAUGCCAGACUGCAGUACUCUGCUACCAUUGAGACUUUGUAAUGAUACACUGUGCCAGAGGCGCUGGCUGGGAGAUGGAAAGAGUUGAACCAACUCAACCUUCAUUUUAGAGACUUCUCCAACUGCUUCCACUAGGCCAACUCUCUUGAGAUGCGCUGAAGCUGACUUCUGGAACUAGCAGCUUCACUUGGUCCAGAGGAAAACAGAGAAGUGGGAUAUGGGAAAAGAGUAGAGGUGGACGAAUAACAAUUUUUAAACUCACUGGCAAUUCCGAAAAAAAUUGUAAAAAACUUGUUUGGCGUCAAAACCAAAAUGAAAAUUUUCAUUGAAUCAAAAAGUUUUAAAAAAAA